CAACUUGAGAGUUUGAUUCUGGCUCAGAACGAACGCUGGCGGCAGGCCUAACACAUGCAAGUCGAACGACAUAGUGGCAGACGGGUGAGUAACGCGUGGGAACGUACCUUUCGCUACGGAAUAGCUCUUGGAAACGAGUGGUAAUACCGUAUACGCCCUUCGGGGGAAAGAUUUAUCGGCGAAAGAUCGGCCCGCGUUAGAUUAGUUUGUUGGUGGGGUAAUGGCCUACCAAGACUACGAUCUAUAGCUGGUCUGAGAGGAUGAUCAGCCACACUGGGACUGAGACACGGCCCAGACUCCUACGGGAGGCAGCAGUGGGGAAUCUUGCACAAUGGGCGAAAGCCUGAUGCAGCCAUGCCGCGUGAAUGAUGAAGGCCUUAGGGUUGUAAAAUUCUUUCGCUAGGGAUGAUAAUGACAGUACCUAGUAAAGAAGCCCCGGCUAACUUCGUGCCAGCAGCCGCGGUAAUACGAAGGGGGCUAGCGUUGUUCGGAAUUACUGGGCGUAAAGCGCACGUAGGCGGACUUUUAAGUCAGAUGUGAAAUCCCGGGGCUCAACCUCGGAACUGCAUUUGAAACUGGAAGUCUGGAGUUCAGGAGAGGUUAGCGGAAUACCGAGUGUAGAGGUGAAAUUCGUAGAUAUUCGGUGGAACACCAGUGGCGAAGGCGGCUAACUGGACUGAUACUGACGCUGAGGUGCGAAAGUGUGGGGAGCAAACAGGAUUAGAUACCCUGGUAGUCCACACCGUAAACGAUGACAGCUAGUUGUUGGCAGGCAUGCCUGUCGGUGACGCAGCUAACGCAUUAAGCUGUCCGCCUGGGGAGUACGGCCGCAAGGUUAAAACUCAAAGAAAUUGACGGGGGCCCGCACAAGCGGUGGAGCAUGUGGUUUAAUUCGAAGNAACGCGCAGAACCUUACCUACCCUUGACAUCCCGAUCGCGGUUUCCAGAGAUGGAUUCCUUCAGUUAGGCUGGAUCGGUGACAGGUGCUGCAUGGCUGUCGUCAGCUCGUGUCGUGAGAUGUUGGGUUAAGUCCCGCAACGAGCGCAACCCUCAUCCUUAGUUGCCAUCACGUUUGGGUGGGCACUCUAAGGAAACUGCCGGUGGCAAGCCGGAGGAAGGUGGGNAUGACGUCAAGUCCUCAUGGNCCUUACGGGUAGGGCUACACACGUGCUACAAUGGCAGUGACAAUGGGAUAAUCCCAAAAAGCUGUCUCAGUUCAGAUUGUCCUCUGCAACUCGAGGGCAUGAAGGUGGAAUCGCUAGUAAUCGUGGAUCAGCAUGCCACGGUGAAUACGUUCCCGGGCCUUGUACACNNNGCCCGUCANAUCAUGGGAAUUGGCUCUACNNGAAGACGCUGUGCUAACUUCGGAGG
rnacentral:rRNA from 1 species